rnacentral:rRNA from 1 species
UACGGGGGGGGCGAGCGUUGUUCGGAAUUAUUGGGCGUAAAGGGAGCGUAGGCGGUGCGGUAAGACUGGUGUGAAACCUCCAGGCUCAACUUGGAGCUGGCAUCAGUGACUGCCGUGCUAGAGUGCGGGAGAGGAUAGUGGAAUUCCCGGUGUAGCGGUGAAAUGCGUAGAUAUCGGGAGGAACAUCGGUGGCGAAGGCGGCUAUCUGGACCGUAACUGACGCUGAGGCUCGAAAGCUAGGGGAGCAAACAGG